GACAGAGGAUGCAAGCGUUAUCCGGAAUGAUUGGGCGUAAAGCGUCUGUGGUGGCUUUUUAAAGUCCGCCGUCAAAUCCCAGGGCUCAACCCUGGACAGGCGGUGGAAACUACCAAAGCUGGAGUGACGGUAGGGGCAGAGGGAAUUUCCGGUGGAGCGGUGAAAUGCGUAGAGAUCGGAAAGAACACCAACGGCGAAAGCACUCUGCUGGGCCGACACUGACACUGAGAGACGAAAGCUAGGGGAGCGAAUGGG
rnacentral:rRNA from 1 species